UAAAAAACUUCUUCUUCUGGGCACACCCACAUGUCAAUCUUAGGACUUCAUGAAAAGCAUGGAGCUAGUAAAUUUGAGUCCAACAACCACGAACACUAAAACUAGGCACUUUCGUUUUGAAAGCCCAAUAAUUUUUUCCAUGCACAAGUGGGGUGUGAUUAUCCAAAGGCCAACCCUUCCUCUUUUGUUCUCAUGCCCAAAUUCAUUACCAC
rnacentral:lncRNA from 1 species